GCAGCAGUGGGGAAUAUUGGACAAUGGGGGCAACCCUGAUCCAGCCAUGCCGCGUGUGUGAAGAAGGCCUUUUGGUUGUAAAGCACUUUAAGCAGUGAAGAAGACUCCAUGGUUAAUACCCAUGGACGAUGACAUUAGCUGCAGAAUAAGCACCGGCUAACUCUGUGCCAGCAGCCGCGGUAAUACAGAGGGUGCAAGCGUUAAUCGGAAUUACUGGGCGUAAAGCGAGCGUAGGUGGCUUGAUAAGUCAGAUGUGAAAUCCCCGGGCUUAACCUGGGAACUGCAUCUGAUACUGUUAGGCUAGAAUAGGUGAGAGGAAGGUAGAAUUCCAGGUGUAGCGGUGAAAUGCGUAGAGAUCUGGAGGAAUACCNGAUGGCGAAGGCAGCCUUCUGGCAUCAUAUUGACACUGAGGUUCGAAAGCGUGGGUAGCAAACAGGAUUAGAUACCCUGGUAGUCCACGCCGUAAACGAUGUCUACUAGUCGUUGGGUCCCUUGAGGACUUAGUGACGCAGCUAACGCAAUAAGUAGACCGCCUGGGGAGUACGGCCGCAAGGUUAAAACUCAAAUGAAUUGACGGGGGCCCGCACAAGCGGUGGAGCAUGUGGUUUAAUUCGAUGCAACGCGAAGAACCUUACCUGGUCUUGACAUAUCUAGAAUCCUGCAGAGAUGCGGGAGUGCCUUCGGGAAUUAGAAUACAGGUGCUGCAUGGCUGUCGUCAGCUCGUGUCGUGAGAUGUUGGGUUAAGUCCCGCAACGAGCGCAACCCUUGUCCUUAGUUACCAGCGGGUUAAGCCGGGAACUCUAAGGAUACUGCCAGUGACAAACUGGAGGAAGGCGGGGACGACGUCAAGUCAUCAUGGCCCUUACGACCAGGGCUACACACGUGCUACAAUGGUAGGUACAGAGGGCAGCUACACAGCGAUGUGAUGCGAAUCUCAAAAAGCCUAUCGUAGUCCAGAUUGGAGUCUGCAACUCGACUCCAUGAAGUAGGAAUCGCUAGUAAUCGCGGAUCAGAAUGCCGCGGUGAAUA
rnacentral:rRNA from 1 species